UCGAUUCAACAAAAAAAACAUUUCCCUUGCCCUAAAUCUCAAAACGACUGUAUCUCCUUCUUCUUCUUUGGGACUCUGCCUCUUCAUCCUCUUCAUUCAUUAUGUUAGACUUCGUCCAAUGGUGAAGCUUGAAAGUUGCAUUUUAUGCUGUAUUAAGGAACUUAUUGAAGGUAGUCAGGUUGUAUAUCUUAUUGGUGAUUGUCUACUGGACUAAAAAAUUGGCUUAUCAGAGUCCAAGCAAUUGAUCAAAUGUCUAUUUGGUAUUUGAUAUUCGGGUUUAGGAGAGUGUGAUGAGAUAUGUUAUAAAGACCCAGUUCUAUAGGACCGACAAUGGAGUGCUUAUAUUGACCGUUUUCGUGGUGCUACCAGCUACUCGGAGGUUCUUGGUGUACUUGGGUGAACCAACCAGAUUUUGUGACAGAGGGAGUACUUCAAACAAGGAAUUUUAGCAUGGAUGAAAGUGGUUGGUGAAUGGUAGCUCCCGGGCUUUCUUUUUUGUAAACUUGGCGAAAGUCCUUUGUAAAAUUUCCAAGCUCGACUAAUCAAUUAUCACAUGGCUAAGCUAGAGAUUCAUGACCUUAUUUUGUAACUAGGAUUUAAGUCUUCUACAACUCAUAUCAUAUCCAUAUUUUGCAAUUGUGAGAUGAAUUACAAUAGUUAUCGUUAUGGCAAUGAUGUGGGUUUUAUGUUUA